rnacentral:rRNA from 1 species
UUCCCGGAGCCUUGAGCUCCUUGAAGGGUCGUUCGAGACCAGGACGUUGAUAGGUCAGGUGUGGAAGUGCAGUAAUGCAUUAAGCUAACUGAUACUAAUUGCCCGUACGGCUUGUCCCUAUAACCUUAGCAGGUUAUA